rnacentral:lncRNA from 1 species
AGAGAGACAGCCCCACGCCCGGCAAGACGCAACUCCGGGCCACGGAGGGCGCCGCCCGGACAGCCCGGCCGGGUCAGGGGGCUUCGCCGCCGAGCACCCUCCGGCAGCCGCCCUCGGGCCUCCGCGGCCGGGCGGGAGGGCGCCUCCCCGACCACACUUCGGCCGCUUGGCACCCACAGCCGGGAGGGCGUGAGGAAGGACUCGGUCUAACUCCGGGGAACCCUCGGAGUUCCGGCGCAGACACCCGAGGGGGUGUCCUGGGAACUCCUUCGCCCGCGACACCCGUUCUUCUCCGUCUCCCGACCACCAGCGACGCAGCAGGGCGGCUGCCGGCCCGGCCCGGCCCGCCUUGCGGGCUGUGCGCGGCGCAGCUCUUCCUCCGCGGGGCCGUGAAGGCCACCGGCCGCCCCCGCGCGCCCAGCUGCCCGGCCCCGCCGCCUAAGCCGCCGCGUUGCUGGCGGGUAGCCGCGGGCCUCCGGUGCGCGGGCCCCGGCGCGUCCCCGAGCGCGCGCCUGGCCGCGGCCCCGCGCGAGUUGCACUAACUUUCCGGGGCGGGGGAGGGGUGGGCGCCGCGGGCCCGGCUCCCAGGCCUUACCUGUGCUCAAGUUGUCGUUGAUUUUCAAAGGCACCCGCAGGAUGUAGACCAGGAAUAGCACGAUGAAGAACCACACGGUCCACAGAUACGUCCAAGACCAAACUAUGCAGGACUUGAGCUGCUCCAGAAAGCCCGUGGCCGCUUCAGCCAUGUUUCAGCGCUCCUCUCUGCUGCCGCGGCUCUUGGUGUCUGCCGGGAUGAUUCACCGGCCCGGAGGCGCAGCUCGCGCCGCCGCCGCCGCCGCGGCCCGGGCGCCCCCGGAGCCCGCCCGCCGCCGGGGACGCGGGCUCGGCGGGAAAUCGCGCGGGCCGCGGGCGCGCCGGCUUUUCCUUCUCCAGCCUUAUUGCUAACUCUCUAAAGGUCCCUACAAGUGGCUUUCGUGGAGCGAUCACGUGGCCCCUGCCCCCUCGCGUUCUGGGUCCAUUUAUAUUUAUUAUGCUAAUAUUUAGAAAGAGAAGGCCAAGUGGCGCGCCGAAGGAAACGCCUCAGGCAGUUACAACCCGCAUAAGUUGAGCGUUUACCACACGCCAGGCGCUGCUCCACGAUCCGUACAAUCUCAUUUAACCCCUGCAACAAUUCCCCACUACGAUCCUCUUUCUAUAGGUAGGGAAACUGAGGCUCACAGCAGCUGCGUAGUUUACCUUAAGGUGGAACCAAAAUUCAAUUGCAGUGGUGUAUUCUGGGGUCCGAGGUCUUAAACCCUACUCUGCUCCCUUAUCAGGAUUCAGGCUCAGGGAAUGAAUAAACCCGGGACAGCUAGGAGAAGGGAGGAGGUGCGCUCCUGUCGCCGGCUAGUAGGCCUGAAGAUAAAUCACUCUAUUCAGCAAGAUUUGGGUGGCAGAUGCUAUUUACCUUUGUUCUGUCUCUUUGAAGCAGCGCAGGGAUUUUCCAGAGAAAUCUUGACAGAUGAAUGUUUAUCCUCCAGGUUUUUUGGUGAUCAGAGGUCAAACUAUUCUCAGCCUGUUUUUAAUAUAAACAAUUCUCUGGGAUAAUUUUGACUGUGAAACGGCCACCUCUAACAGAAAGUCCAUUUUAAACAUUGUUUUGUUGUUUUUGUUUUGUUUUGACUGUGCUGAAUAAAAUGUUUCUUUUAUUCUAAAAUGUUUUCUCAGCUGAAAUUUUCAAGUCUGUUUCUGUCCGUAAGUGAUUUGACUUUCUAUGUAUUAGAUGGUAAUGAGGAAAUUGCAGGUUUUCCAGUCUACAUCUAUUUUUAAAAUUCUGAGCAUAAAGAAUAUUUUAUUAUAAAUUGUUUUGCUUACUUGUAUAAUAGUUUCCUUCAUAAUUAAAUAAGCUCCUUUAACUUUUCACAUAUAGGGCCUAUUACGGCAUACAUAAUGGAUGGAACUACUCUUAAAUUUUUACUAAUUCCAGCCUCUCUCGGCUACUGUUUCUUCCUCACAUUUGAUCUACUACAGUGAGAUCCAGGCCAGAAUAAGUGAAAUUGGCACACAUAGACUUUCUUUAUAGUUAUUUAUGGCAGCACAUGACCAAAUGAUUUUUGUGUCUAACACUGAUACAUGGAAUCUCAGUAAAAUAAAACAAUAUUGUCACCAGUAAAGGAUCGUGACUGCAGGUUGUCCAGGUUCUUGGCGUUUUGAACAAAGAAUUGGACAAAACACCCAGAGAAGCGACAAAAGAACGAAAGCAGGGAUUUAUUGAAAACGAAAGUACACUCUACAUUGUGGGAGCGGGCGGAGCAGCGGCUCAAAGGCCGAAUACAGAAUCUUCUUGGGUCCAAAUACCCCCAAGAAGUUUCCCUUUGGCAACUCAUGCUCAUCUCACGUAAAUGAAGUGGUAGCCCGCAAUCAGUCUGACUGGUUGCAGAAAGCAGCCAACCAGAGGCUGAAAUGAAGAUACAAAGGUAACACUCCUGUGCAAACAUCUGAUUGGUUGCAAAAAACAACCAAUCAGAGGCUGGGAUGUACUUAAUGAAGUUAUGCUUCUAUGCAAACGAAGACUCGCCCACAGUCUGAUUAGUUGUGGACAACAACCAUUCAGAGGCUGGAGUGAAGUUACAAAGUUGCAAAUGAAGAUUGGACCCGCAGUCAGUCUGAUUGGUUACAGACAGCCAAUUUCCCAUCUACUAGGCAGAAAAGGUCAAAGGUAGCCUCUGGUCCUUUUGUUACUUAGGCGUGGAAAGUUAGGGUUUUCCUUUCAAUGUAGUUCAAGGAAGUCCUUAGUUUCCCUGCCUCCAGAACCUAGUCUCCUGCCUCAACAUGAGUACAUGAACCACCUAUUUUAUGUGAUGAUUAAAUAACCCACCAGAUUCUCUGCGAGUCACUGAAUUAGGAUAUUGACUACUUAAUUUAAAUGAACAUCCGGAGGCCUGGCUUUUUGCUGUCAAUGAACUUCAAUGAAUGGACAUGAAUAUGACUCCGCUAAGUCACAAUCUUCUAAUUUUCUACUAGGCGCUCCUGGGAAGUCAGCCCUAUAUCAUUGCCUCUCCUGGUGUGCAUCCUGGCAUGUGGUGGGGACUGUACACAUGCCUUUGUGCUUCAAAACACUUCAAAACAGAAAUCCCCUCCUGGGCCUAGCACAGGUACUGUGUGCUGGGCUAAACUGAAAUGAAUAUGAAGUCUAUGGCCAUACCACCCUGAACACACCCGACCUUAUCUGAUCUUGGAAGCUCGACAGGGUCAGGCCUGAUUAAUACUUGGAUGGGAAAUGAAUGUACUUGAGUUGGAGGGAAGAAGGGGUAUGGUUGUUGUUUGAUUUUUUUUUUUUUUGGACCUCUCAGCAAGUUGAUUUUCUAGACUUACCAAAUAAAAGUCCUAUGUGAUUUUCAUUAAAAAAAGGACCAAUGCGUAAAUGAGAGGGGAAAAUAGUUCAUUCUGAGGCAGAAGCAUCCAGUAGAACCACUAUCUAGUUUCCCAUCACUGAGAAUAUUCUAACAGAGGUUUGGCUGACCACCCAACCUCAUCUGUAAAUUGGGAACAAUAAUAGCAUAUGUGAUCAUGUCAAAAGGUAUUCUUGCGGAAGGUAGGAGGCAUGACCAACUCAUCCUGGUUUGCUGGGACUUUCCCAGUUUUAAUACUGUAAGUCCCAUGUUUUCAGAAUCCCUUCAGUCACAGUGGGGCUAGAUGACUUCUGAGUUUUCUUCCAACUCUUAAGACUCUCAGUUGCAGGGUCUGCCUCCAGCAAAACUGGGAGGUAGGAGGAAGUUUAUUUUCUGUACCUUUUACUGGACUUUCUCACUUCUUUAGCUGCCGCAGGCCUUUACUUCCUUCCCUUAUCUACUCUCAAAAUCUGCUUUUACAACUAUCAGUUUGUUUGUGCAUAAAUAAUUUGUUAUUCUUCCAAGUGCUAUUAACAGAUACCAGAUAACAAAGCCAUAAAAUAAAAUAAUCUUCA